rnacentral:rRNA from 2 species
CGAGCUGUAAUUUGUAGAGGAUGCUUUUGGCGCGGUGCCUUCCGAGUUCCCUGGAACGGGACGCCAUAGAGGGUGAGAGCCCCGUCUGGUUGGACACCUAGCCUCUGUAAAGCUCCUUCGACGAGUCGAGUAGUUUGGGAAUGCUGCUCUAAAUGGGAGGUAUAUGUCUUCUAAAGCUAAAUACCGGCCAGAGACCGAUAGCGCACAAGUAGAGUGAUCGAAAGAUGAAAAGCACUUUGAAAAGAGGGUUAAAUAGUACGUGAAAUUGUUGAAAGGGAAGCGUUUGUGACCAGACUUGGGCCCGGUUGAUCAUCCACCGUUCUCGGUGGUGCACUCUGCCGGCCCAGGCCAGCAUCAGUUCGCGCCGGGGGAUAAAGGCUUCGGGAAUGUGGCUCCUCCGGGAGUGUUAUAGCCCGUUGUGUAAUACCCUGGUGCGGACUGAGGUUCGCGCUCCGCAAGGAUGCUGGCGUAAUGGUCAUCAGCGACCCGUCUUGAAACACGGACCAAGGAGUCGUCUUCGUAUGCGAGUGUUCGGGUGUCAAACCCCUACGCGUAAUGAAAGUGAACGCAGGUGAGAGCUUCGGCGCAUCAUCGACCGAUCCUGAUGUUCUCGGAUGGAUUUGAGUAAGAGCAUACGGGGCCGGACCCGAAAGAAGGUGAACUAUGCCUGUAUAGGGUGAAGCCAGAGGAAACUCUGGUGGAGGCUCGCAGCGGUUCUGACGUGCAAAUCGAUCGUCAAAUAUGGGCAUGGGGGGCGAAAGACUAAUCGA